rnacentral:rRNA from 1 species
CCUACGGGUGGCAGCAGUGGGGGAUAUUGCACAAUGGGGGAAACCCUGAUGCAGCGACGCCGCGUGAGUGAAGAAGUAUUUCGGUAUGUAAAGCUCUAUCAGCAGGGAAGAAAAAAGACGGUACCUGACUAAGAAGCCCCGGCUAACUACGUGCCAGCAGCCGCGGUAAUACGUAGGGGGCAAGCGUUAUCCGGAUUUACUGGGUGUAAAGGGAGCGUAGACGGCAAUACAAGUCGGAAGUGAAAUACCCGGGAUCAACCUUGGAACUGCUUUGGAAACUGUAUGGCUAGAGUGCUGGAGAGGUAAGCGGAAUGCCUAGUGUAGCGGUGAAAUGCGUAGAUAUUAGGAGGAACACCAGUGGCGAAGGCGGCUUACUGGACAGUAACUGACGUUGAGGCUCGAAAGCGUGGGGAGCAAACAGGAUUAGAUACCCCUGUAGUC